UACGUAGGGGGCAAGCGUUGUCCGGAAUCAUUGGGCGUAAAGAGCGUGUAGGCGGCCAGAAAAGUCCGCUGUGAAAACUCGAGGCUCAACUUCGAGCUGUCGGUGGAAACUUUCUGGCUAGAGUCCGGAAGAGGAGAAUGGAAUUCCUGGUGUAGCGGUGAAAUGCGCAGAUAUCAGGAAGAACACCCGUGGCGAAGGCGGUUCUCUGGGACGGUACUGACGCUAAGGCGCGAAAGCGUGGGGAGCGAACAGG
rnacentral:rRNA from 1 species